UCAAGCCUUACCUAUUAUGUAAUGUAAUAUAGUAAGUAUCCUUUUUCAAUUGGGAGAGAUGGCUGAGUGGACUAAAGCGUCGGAUUGCUAAUCCGUUGUACGAGUUAUCCGUACCGAGGGUUCGAAUCCCUCUCUUUUCGAUUCCGAUGAUGACUUGGAAUUUUUUUCUUUUCUUUUAAAUUUAGCGAGCUUUUUUGUUUUAUUUAAUAUUUAAAAAUGUAGAAUAGUAAAAUACUAAGAACGUUGAGAAAUCAAGAAAAACCUUUUUUUUUUUAAUUUUAUAUAUUUUAUUUUAUUUUUUUAUUCUUCACGUCCGGGAUUACGUCCUGGAUCAUUAGAUAAAAAUCUAAAGAUGAAUAGAGAAACAAAGAAUAUCACUACUGUGUAAACAAAGAGUUUGAGAGUAAGCAUUAUAAAAUCUCCAAGAUCUUUUUUUGGUUUGGAAAAAAAAUAGAUUCUCUAUUUUUAUACCACAUAUUCUAUUUUAACACCAAGACAUGGAGCGGUUUCUAGAAAUAGAAAAUAAUUUUUCUAAAUUCAAAAUUCAUUUGUAAUAAAAGUCGAGUCUUUAAUUGCCAAAAAUUUUGUUUCAUACCGAAAAUUAGAUAUUUUUUCAUAACUACAAAAAGGAUUCUAAUAGGAUCUGCAAUGGAGAAAAAGUUUAGAAUGAAAAAAAAUGGGGUGAUCUAGAAUUCUCGCGUUUAUAGUUUAUAUUUAUACAAUAACUUCAAUAUUUGAAUUAAGAGUUUAUACUUUAUACUAUAAGACUUAUCUGAUCUUAUCAAUUGCUAUAAUUUUUUUUCUCGAAUAAAUCAUGAAUUAUUUUAGGACAGCAUUAAAGAUCUCAUUGAAAACUUACAGCAGCCUGCCAAACAAAGGCUAAUAGAAAAAAGAGUACAGGGAUUACUGGCAUAACAUCUACGAUUGGAUUCAAAAAGGCGUAGGCUUCGGGCAAUUUUGUGAAGAAAAAAUUGCUUGAAUAAAGGGCAAAAUUAAGACAGAUACAAAUUAAACUAAAAAUAUUAAGCAUAACAAACAUUUUGUUCUUGAAGAUAAUUUUAUUUUGACUGAGUUAUUAAUAUGUUAUUAAUAUAAAAGAAAAGAUAUAAAAAUUGAUAAAACAUAAAGAUAAAGAAAGGUAGAUUAAAAACCCUUCUUUAUUAAACUUUAUUAAAUUUAUUAAACUCACCCAAUCAAAAAUCCUUCAAUUCUCAAAUCAAAAAAGAAUAGAGGAAAUCAUAUUUUUAUACAGUAUCUUAAUUGAAUUAUAUAUUAUGAUCAAUAAAUUGAAUUUAAUUCUAUAUCUACACAUAGAAAAAUCCGAACAACAAGCUAAUAUAUUUUCUAGAUAUUUAGUGGGAAUUGACGAAGAGCUAAUACCAAUAUUAGUUUUUAUUAGUGUUGAAUAGAAAUUCAAAUGUGGCGUGGCCAAGUGGUAAGGCAACGGGUUUUGGUCCCGCUAUUCGAAGGUUCGAAUCCUUCCGUCCCAGCUAUUCCUAUAUAUCAAAAAAAGGAUCCUUCCUUGUUUGAUUUAUCAUUUAACAUCUCCCAUAUAAUUUAAUUUAGGAAGUAGAUAGGAGUUAAUUAGUAUUAGUAAUGGAAGAUAUCUAUUUCAAUGCCUUCGCCGGUGCCUGUGAAAAUUAAAACAAACAAAACAUAUGUAGUUUCUUUUAACUAACCUUAUUUUUCAGAUAUUUUAUCUUUGUCUUUAAUGAAUGAUUCUAAAUCUAUCUAACAAUUGAGAAUCUAUCUAACAAUUGAGACGGGAUUGAUUCAUAUAUCCUAUUCACUUUUCGCUUUACUUUAGGAAAUUUUUUUAGAAAGAAUCAAGUCAAGUCAAAUAAACUACUCAUAAAAUGAAAAAAUGCUUGUAUGUAUGUAUUUUUAGCAUUUUAACACCUUUCUUUCUGAUUUUGUAAUGUAAAAAAAAAAUUGUCAUCCCUCGCUUAAUUUUAAUAUUUAACAUAGAAUAUCCAUAAUUAAUUUCAGUGACAAUUCUUUAGUUUAGAUAAUUCUUUAGUCUAUCUGAUAGUCUAUCUGAAAAAUUGAAUAUUUUUUUUACCUAUUUAUUUUAUUUUAAAUCCUUGAUGGUUUAAUUCAAAUCUGUAUCUAAAAAAGGGGGUUUUUCUCUUCUCUUAUAAUGAGAAGAUAUAUUUCUUACCUUAAAACAAAAAAAUAAUGAUAUUGGGAUAGGCAAUUUAAAAAUGAAAUCUUUUUAUUGAUUUUUAUAAGUUCUUGGGACUCAAAGAAAUGUGAGAUAGGCGAAUCCAUCCUAUGGAGUCACUUGAAGAUUCAAAAAGAACUUAUUUCUUUGUCUUAUUCUAAAUUAGAAUUGAAAAUAAAAAAAUAUUCGUACAAUAAAAUAUGGGAUUAAUUUGAAUUCUUUCUCACACUUCUUCAGAAACUACCUAAUAGAAGUUCAAAUUUUUGAUUCCUAUGUGCCGGUCGAACCAAUGACUAUUCACGAUUCCAUAAUUGAAUCAAUUACAUACUAUUUCAAAACUCAAAGAAUGUUAUGGUAAAACUUCAUUUGAAACGAUGUGGUAGAAAGCAACGUGCGACUUGAAGGACACGAUCGGUUGUGGAUUCUUACAUCCCCCCUAUUAUAUAUAUAAUUAUAUUAUAUAUAUUAUAUAGUAUAUAGAUUAGUAUAUAGAUUAAUAUUAUAUAGCUCUAUAUAUAAUAUUAUAUAGCAUAUAGGAAUGAGGGUGCUCUUAGCUCGACAUUGUUUAUUCUGUUAUACACUAGAACCUUCGUUUUUUAUUGGGUUGUAAUGUAAAUAGUACAUGAUGGAGCUCGAGUAGAAAGUAAAGUAUUGAUUUAUUUCUUAGGAGCAAGAAUCUAGGGUUAGCCCUAAUCAAUAAGUUAGAACAACUUCGUAAGUAUAUUUUCAAUAUCGAAAUAGAAAGGAUCCAAUUCUAGCGAAUUUCAAGUCCAAGAAUAAGGUCUGUUGGAAUUGACCAAAUUCUUUUGAUUAAAAAAGUGUAUCACACAGGAAUCAAUUGUUAGUCUGAUUCUUUAAUAGAAAGAAAUCACAAAAAGUGGUAUGUUGCUGCCAUUUCGAAAUGAUUAAACUUCACCGAAGUAAUGUCUAAACCCAACGAUUCAAGGCAAAGAUAAAGGAUCUUGGAACAAGGAAAUACCAUUUUCAAUUGUCUCAACAAUUAGAUCAGAAUGAAGAAUCAAAAUACAUUAUACAUUUAAAAAUAAAAGAAAGAAACAAAAAGAAAAAGAAAGGGCAUUAGAGAUCACUCAAUAAGUGAAAAAUGAAACGCCUAAGGGGUUCCCUUUGAGCUAUUUGAAAGUUAUCCAACUUGAGUUAGAAGGGUACAGAUGCUUUUUUUCUUUUUUGGUUCAUCGAGACUCUUGAAGAAUCUUUUCCAUUUUUUGGUUAUGUAUGGAAAGAUAGAAAUAAAAUGACAACAAAUUUAGGUAUUCACUUAAUCUUGCUAGGUAUAGGUGCUUUUCUUCUAGUAUUCAAGGCUCUUUAUUUUGGGGGCGUAUAUGAUACCUGGGCUCCGGGGGGGGGGGGAGAUGUAAGAAAAAUUACUAACUUAACCCUUAGCCCAAGUAUUAUUUUCGGUUAUUUACUAAAAUCCCCUUUUGGAGGAGAAUGAUGGAUUGUUAGUGUGGACGAUUUGGAAGAUAUAAUUGGAGGCCAUGUAUGGUUAGGUUCCAUUUGUAUACUGGGUGGAAUCUGGCAUAUCUUAACCAAACCUUUUGCAUGGGCUCGCCGUGCACUUGUAUGGUCUGGAGAGGCUUACUUGUCUUAUAGUUUAGGUGCUUUAUCCGUUUUUGGUUUCAUUGCUUUUUGCUUUGUCUGGUUCAAUAAUACCGCUUACCCUAGUGAGUUUUACGGGCCUACUGGACCAGAAGCUUCUCAAGCUCAAGCUUUUACUUUUCUAGUUCGUCAACGUCUUGGGGCUAAUGUGGGAUCUGCUCAAGGACCUACCGGGUUAGGUAAAUAUUUAAUGCGUUUGCCUACCGGAGAAGUUAUUUUUGGAGGUGAAACUAUGUGUUUUUGGGAUUUGCGUGCUCCUUGGUUAGAACCUCUAAGAGGUCCAAAUGGUUUGGACUUGAGUAGGUUGAAAAAGGACAUAUAACCUUGGCAAGAAUGCCGUUCCGCAGAAUAUAUGACCCACGCGCCUUUAGGUUCGUUAAAUUCUGUAGGUGGCGUAGCUACGGAAAUCAAUGCAGUCAAUUAUGUCUCUCCUAGAAGUUGGUUAGCUACCUCUUAUUUUGUUCUAGGGUUCUUCCUAUUCGUAGGUCAUUUAUGGCACGCGGGAAGGACUCGUGCAGCUGCAGCAGGAUUUGAAAAAGGAAUUGAUCGUGAUUUUGAACCCGCUCUUUCCAUGACUCCUCUUAACUAACUGAGACAAGAGAUCCAAUAGUUAAAUCGAUCUUAAAAAGUAUUCCGUUUUCCUUUCUUUUCAAUUCAUUUAGAUCUAAUCUAUUUAUUUCUAGCUCGGCUAUCCCAUCUAGUCGAGCCAUUUACAUUUAUGAUACUGGGCCAGUCAAAACUAAUAAAGACAUAAAUCUAUUCAUCGAGAAAAGGAGAGAGGGAUUCAAACCCUCAAUAGUUCUUUGCGAACUAUACCGGUUUUCAAGACCGGAGCUAUCAACCACUCGGCCAUCUCUCCGAAAGAUAAUUUUGAUUUUACUAUUUUAUUUUUAUUCUGCCGAAUAGAAUAGAAUACGGCCAUCGGAUUUGAUACCAUCACUGUACUAUAAAAACUCAGCGGUUAGUCCUUGAAUUUUGAAAGAAUACAAAAAAAAUUUUAUUUCUAAGUAUCUUAAUUGCUCAAAUUCAGAUUUUUAGAUGAAAGAAUUCUGUUCUAUCAACAAAACAAAUAUUUCGAAAAAACAAAUGGCCAACUUACCCAUAUUCCACAGGAAUAAUUUAGAAAGAUUUUUGAAGAAUAUUGUGAUGUGAUAAUAAAAAAUGAGUGGCAAAAGCAAAAUAAGACAGAAAAGUUAUCAUUCUAGGUGGUCCAGCCCUUUGUUCAUUAGGGAGGACAAAAAGAAAGAUAACAAGAAAUGUCGAGAAAGGAAAGAUAAUUUACAAGAUACGAUCUAUCCAUAUCUAAUGUAUCAAUUUCAAAUAUUGAAAAUUCAAAAUUAAAAGAGAAUUUCUUUAUUCUAUAUUUUAUUCCAAAAUGCUUUGUUUUCAUCUAUGAUAUGGGUCUAUUAUUUCGAUUUAUUACUUAUUUUGUUACUAAAUUUAUUGAAUAUUGAAAUUGAAUUUAAAUACGCAUAAAAAAGGUUUGAUUUUAUUUUAGAAUUGUUUCGUAUAUAUCCGUAUAUAUAUAUAUAAUAUAUGUCUUCUUUGGUUCAUCAAUAUUGUAUUGUGAAAUUUCAGUUAAGUUAUGCUGUAACUAUAAAAAAAAUGAAGACUCUUGGAUUUUUUUGUUCCUAUUAAGAAAAUGUUCAUUCUUCAGCUCAUUUCAAAAUACUUCAAUUGGUACACGCAAAAAAUAGGCCAAUUCCGCUACCUUUUGCUCAAUUUCUCAUGGAGUCAAAUUCUCAUCAGUACGAGUCAAAGGAAUGGACCCUCGGCCUCUGGUUUCCAUAUAAAGGACACACCGAGCAAAAAUACCCUCUUUCACUUCUAUUCUAAUAGACUGAAUAUCCUUCAUAAGGAAUCGGAGGAAGAUGCGACGAUUUUUUCCAGGGAAUCCCCAGUGAAAAAUACACACUAUUCCUUCUUUUCUAUCGAAUCGAUCAUAACCACUACCUACAUUCCACAAAAUUGUGCACCAUAAAUAAGAACUAAUAAAUAGACCGGCGAUCCCAAAGAAAGACAUCACGAUCCCUUAUGGAAAAAAAAUUAUUUACUGAGACGGAAAUAAAGAUAUCAAAUUUCUGCCAAGAUAACUGGAAAUUCCAACCAAUAAAAAUCCCAAUAAACCUAAAAGAAAGUAUAAAGGCCUAGCAGAAAUUACUUGUUUUGCGAGACCCCGCUAUAAGUUCUAUCCAUAUACGUUAUGAUCGCCAACUCAUACUAGAUCUAGUUGUUUUUUAUUUGAAGUGGGAGACUAGCCCAAAUGAAUUUGACUUUCUUUCUUUUUGUUUCCGAAGUAACUUUCAUCAACUCGGAUUAUUCUGGUGUGAAUCUUUAGGAGGAAUUCAUCGAAUUCGUUAGAUUAUAAAAAAGAGAGCUCAGCCCCCCCAUAGGAUCCCCUAUCUGCACAUAUAUAAAAAUAUCAGCUUUGCUUUGCAUUUGUUUCAGGCAUCCGCCACAGUUUCGAUUUAUUUUCAAAUAGUCCAUUUACUUAUAUAUCAUAUAUCAUAUUUACGUCUGCAUAAGAACCCUUUCAUUUUCAUUUACGUUUGAAGGGAGCUGCUCGUAUGUUAUAUCAUAUUAUACUAAACUAGAGAGAUAUCCGUAUUAUAUCUGUAUUAUAUUAUGAUCCAAGUCUAAGUCUUGAAAAAAAAAAAAAAAUGAAAUCUACCCCCGUUAGACCUAAUUGGAUCUAAAAACUCUUGUUUUUUUUGAACAUGAAGAGAUAAGGAAGUCAUCGCAAUUGCCGGAAAUACUAAGCCUACUAAAGGCACAAAAAUGGAGGGUAAGCUGUUGAGAAUUGUCAUAGAAUGGGCACCUUGAUUUAAUAUUUGUACCUGUUAUUUAAUUUUUUUAUUAUAUAUUAUAUUAUUUUUAUAUUAUAUUAUUUUGAAUAUUUUAAUAUAUGUUUAAUAUAUUUAUAUAUUUUCAUUAUUUUUUUAUUAUUAUUUUUUAUUAUUAUAAUUAUUUUUUAUUAUUAUUAAUUAUUAUUUUAUUCUAUUAAAUUAAUAAUUUAAAUUAAUUAUAAUUAUAUUUAUAUUAAUUAUUCUAUUAUUAGUUAUUUAUUAGUUAUUUAGUUAUUAGAAAGAUUUCUUAUAAUCAUUAAAAUUCGUAUAUAAUUAUACUAAGUAUAUCUAAGUGAGUAUAUAUAAUAUAAUAAAGUGCAAAGAGCGCAGAACUAACUAAAUGACUUAUUCAUAUUUCUACAUGAAAUAUGAUAAUCCAUUUAUUUGUUAUUCUUCUUUUAUUAUCUUUUUUUUUCUUGUCUUAUAACUUUCAUUUUUCUUUUUUCUUUUUUUUUUAACUUUACUUUAAUAGAAAAUAUUUUAAUAUAUUUAAUAGAAAAUAAAAAAAUAAAGAGUUUUUCCGAUUAUAAAUUCCCCCAAAAUUCGUUAUAAUUUAGAAUCCGUCGAUUCUUUUUUAUUAAAAAAAAAAAGGGAUUCCUAGGAGAUAUAUAAAUAUGCAAGACUCUAUAUUUUCUAUGCAUAGGUAAGAAAAGAACAUGAAAUUCGUAAUAUUUAUUAUACCUUUUCCAUUUUUUCACGAAAAAAGGAAUUCACUAUUUUUCUUGUUGAUCUUGUUGAUAGAGGUUUCUUAAUUAGUAAUCAGAAAUAUCGGUAAAAAAAAAUUAUCUACAUGAUUCUUUCUACAAUUUACUCUUAUGUUAUGUCACAAAAAAAUCAAAAAAAUUGAUUUUUCCUUUGAUUCUGCUAAAAAAA
rnacentral:lncRNA from 1 species